rnacentral:rRNA from 1 species
UACGAAGGGGGCUAGCGUUGCUCGGAAUCACUGGGCGUAAAGGGUGCGUAGGCGGGUCUUUAAGUCAGGGGUGAAAUCCUGGAGCUCAACUCCAGAACUGCCUUUGAUACUGAGGAUCUUGAGUUCGGGAGAGGUGAGUGGAACUGCGAGUGUAGAGGUGAAAUUCGUAGAUAUUCGCAAGAACACCAGUGGCGAAGGCGGCUCACUGGCCCGAUACUGACGCUGAGGCACGAACGCGUGGGGAGCAAACAGG